UUAGGGAAAACUUCAAAAACCCCCCCUGUGGUUUCAUGCAUUCUCACUUUACUAUCCUGUGGUUUAAAACGUAUCAAUUUGUCCUCCUGUGGUUUCAUUUUUAUCUUUUCGGAAGCUUUUUCAUUAACAUUUCGUUAAAUUAUAUACAAAAAACUUCAGAUAACCAUCUAUAUUUAUCGAAUAUUCACUUUAGUAUCCUUUAAUUUUAACUUUGUCACUGAUUUAAGAAAAAAAUAAUAAUAAAAUUGAUAACAAAAAGAGAAAAACGAAACCACAGGGGGGCAAAUUGAUACGUUUUAAACCACAGGGUACUAAAGUGAGAAAGCACGAAACCACAGGAGGGGUUUUUGAAGUUUUCCCUUUUUUUUAUUUGAUUCAUA
rnacentral:lncRNA from 1 species